rnacentral:rRNA from 1 species
AGAGUUUGAUCCUGGCUCAGGAUAAACGCUGGCGGCGUGCCUAACACAUGCAAGUCGCGCGUCCUGUCUUUCCGCAAGGAGAGAGAGGGAGUGGCGGACGGGUGAGUAACACAUGGGUACCUGCCUUCAGGUGAGGAAUACCCCCGGGAAACCGGGGACAAGACCGCAUAGCCUCUCUGUUUUGCGAGAAAGAGAGAGGAAAGUCCUUCUUCGGAGGGACGCCUGGAGAGGGGCCUGUGGCCGAUUAGCUGGCUGGUGGGGUAAGAGCCUACCAGGGCGAUGAUCGGUAGCUGGUCUGAGAGGACGAGCAGCCACACUGGGAUUGAGAACGGCCCAGACUCCUACGGGGGGCAGCAGUGAGGAAUUUUCCGCAAUGGGCGCAAGCCUGACGGAGCAACGCCGCGUGCAGGAGGACGGCCUUCGGGUUGUAAACUGCUUUUCUGGGGGACGAGGAAGCAAGGACGGUACCCCAGGAAGAGGCCCCGGCUCACUACGUGCCAGCAGCCGCGGUAAUAC